UACGUAGGGUGCAAGCGUUGUCCGGAAUUAUUGGGCGUAAAAGAGCUCGUAGGCGGUUCGUCGCGUCGGCUGUGAAAUCCCGAGGCUCAACCUCGGGUCUGCAGUCGAUACGGGCGGACUGGAGUUCGGCAGGGGAGACUGGAAUUCCUGGUGUAGCGGUGAAAUGUGUAGAGAUCGGGAGGAACACCAGUGGCGAAGGCGGGUCUCUGGACAGUUCCUGACGCU
rnacentral:rRNA from 1 species